GAAGCGAACGCGGUGAACUGAAACAUCUAAGUAACCGCAGGAAAAGAAAUCAACCGAGAUUCCCAAAGUAGUGGCGAGCGAAAUGGGAUGAGCCUUGCACUCUUUAUUUGUAUUGUUAGCCGAACGCUCUGGAAAGUGCGGCCAUAGCAGGUGAUAGCCCUGUAGGCGAAAACAGUAUGAAAGAACUAGGUGUGCGACAAGUAGGGCGGGACACGUGAAAUCCUGUCUGAAGAUGGGGGGACCAUCCUCCAAGGCUAAAUACUCGUGAUCGACCGAUAGUGAACCAGUACCGUGAGGGAAAGGCGAAAAGAACCCCGGGAGGGGAGUGAAAUAGAUCCUGAAACCGCAUGCAUACAAACAGUCGGAGCCUCGUAAGGGGUGACGGCGUACCUUUUGUAUAAUGGGUCAGCGACUUACGUUCAGUAGCAAGCUUAACCGUAUAGGGCAGGCGUAGCGAAAGCGAGUCCGAAUAGGGCGUUCAGUUGCUGGGCGUAGACCCGAAACCAGGUGAUCUAUCCAUGGCCAGGAUGAAGGUGCGGUAACACGUACUGGAGGUCCGAACCCACUAACGUUGAAAAGUUAGGGGAUGAGCUGUGGAUAGGGGUGAAAGGCUAAACAAACCUGGAAAUAGCUGGUUCUCUCCGAAAACUAUUUAGGUAGUGCCUCGUGUCUCACCUUCGGGGGUAGAGCACUGUCAUGGUUGGGGGGUCUAUUGCAGAUUACCCCGCCAUAGCAAACUCCGAAUACCGAAGAGUGCAAUCACGGGAGACAGACAUCGGGUGCUAACGUCCGGUGUCAAGAGGGAAACAACCCAGACCGCCAGCUAAGGUCCCCAAAUAUAGCUAAGUGGGAAACGAAGUGGGAAGGCUAAAACAGUCAGGAGGUUGGCUUAGAAGCAGCCACCCUUUAAAGAAAGCGUAAUAGCUCACUGAUCGAGUCGUCCUGCGCGGAAGAUGUAACGGGGCUAAGCUAUAUACCGAAGCUGCGGAUGCGAGCUUGCUCGCAUGGUAGGAGAGCGUUCCGUAAGCCUGCGAAGGUGCCUUGUAAAGGGUGCUGGAGGUAUCGGAAGUGCGAAUGCUGACAUGAGUAGCGAUAAAGGGGGUGAAAGGCCCCCUCGCCGUAAGCCCAAGGUUUCCUACGCAACGUUCAUCGGCGUAGGGUGAGUCGGCCCCUAAGGCGAGGCAGAAAUGCGUAGCUGAUGGGAAGCAGGUCAAUAUUCCUGCACCAUUGUUAGAUGCGAUGGGGGGACGGAUCGCGGAAGGUUGUCCGGGUGUUGGAAGUCCCGGUCGCUGCAUUGGAGAAGGCGCUUAGGCAAAUCCGGGCGCGUAAUUCAAGGGUGUGGCGCGAGCUCCUUAGGGAGCGAAGCAAUUGGAAGUGGUUCCAAGAAAAGCCUCUAAGCUUCAGUCUAACGAUGACCGUACCGCAAACCGACACAGGUGGGCGAGAUGAGUAUUCUAAGGCGCUUGAGAGAACUCGGGAGAAGGAACUCGGCAAAUUGGUACCGUAACUUCGGGAUAAGGUACGCCCUUGUAGCUUGACCAGCCUGCGCUGGAAGGGUGAAGGGGUUGCAAUAAACUGGUGGCUGCGACUGUUUAAUAAAAACACAGCACUCUGCAAACACGAAAGUGGACGUAUAGGGUGUGACGCCUGCCCGGUGCCGGAAGAUUAAAUGAUGGGGUGCAAGCUCUUGAUUGAAGUCCCGGUAAACGGCGGCCGUAACUAUAACGGUCCUAAGGUAGCGAAAUUCCUUGUCGGGUAAGUUCCGACCUGCACGAAUGGCGUAACGAUGGCCACACUGUCUCCUCCCGAGACUCAGCGAAGUUGAAGUGUUUGUGAUGAUGCAAUCUACCCGCGGCUAGACGGAAAGACCCCAUGAACCUUUACUGUAGCUUUGCAUUGGACUUUGAACCGAUCUGUGUAGGAUAGGUGGGAGGCUAUGAAACCGGAACGCUAGUUUCGGUGGAGCCGUCCUUGAAAUACCACCCUGGUUUGUUUGAGGUUCUAACCUUGGCCCGUGAUCCGGGUCGGGGACAGUGCAUGGUAGGCAGUUUGACUGGGGCGGUCUCCUCCCAAAGCGUAACGGAGGAGUACGAAGGUACGCUAGGUACGGUCGGAAAUCGUGCUGAUAGUGCAAUGGCAUAAGCGUGCUUAACUGCGAGACCGACAAGUCGAGCAGGUGCGAAAGCAGGUCAUAGUGAUCCGGUGGUUCUGUAUGGAAGGGCCAUCGCUCAACGGAUAAAAGGUACUCUGGGGAUAACAGGCUGAUACCGCCCAAGAGUUCAUAUCGACGGCGGUGUUUGGCACCUCGAUGUCGGCUCAUCUCAUCCUGGGGCUGUAGCCGGUCCCAAGGGUAUGGCUGUUCGCCAUUUAAAGAGGUACGUGAGCUGGGUUUAAAACGUCGUGAGACAGUUUGGUCCCUAUCUGCCGUGGGCGUUGGAUAUUUGAAGGGGGCUGCUCCUAGUACGAGAGGACCGGAGUGGACGAACCUCUGGUGUACCGGUUGUCACGCCAGUGGCAUCGCCGGGUAGCUAUGUUCGGAAGAGAUAACCGCUGAAAGCAUCUAAGCGGGAAACUCGCCUUAAGAUGAGAUAUCCCUGGGGACUAGAUCCCCUUGAAGGGUCGUUCGAGACCAGGACGUUGAUAGGUCAGGUGUGUAAGCGCAGUAAUGCGUUCAGCUAACUGAUACUAAUUGCCCGUAAGGCUUGAUCCUAUAACA
rnacentral:rRNA from 1 species